GGGAAGGGGAUGUUGUCUUUAUUUUUUAAUUUGUAAACCAUCUCAUAUAUCUUGAAUUAUUUCAAAUUACUAUCUGAUAUUCAAGCGGAAUAGGAUGCAUAAUUCUACUAGCAUAAAAGGAUCAACUAGAAGAAGCUGUUUAUUUGGUCGUUUAUGGUUGUCUUAAAAUUAAAGUCAGUGAGAUGAAUAGACUACAGCAAACCAAC
rnacentral:lncRNA from 1 species